AACGAACGCUGGCGGCAUGCCUAACACAUGCAAGUCGAACGAGACCUUCGGGUCUAGUGGCGCACGGGUGCGUAACGCGUGGGAACCUGCCCUUAGGUUCGGACUAACUCCCCGACAGGGGUGCUAAUACCGGAUAAUGUCUUCGGACCAAAGAUUUAUCGCCUUUGGAUGUGCCCGCGUUGGAUUAGCUAGUUGGUAGGGUAAAAGCCUACCAAGGCGACGAUCCAUAGCUGGUCUGAGAGGAUGAUCAGCCACACUGGGACUGAGACACGGCCCAGACUCCUACGGGAAGCAGCAGUGGGGAAUAUUGGACAAUGGGCGAAAGCCUGAUCCAGCAAUGCCGCGUGAGUGAUGAAGGCCUUAGGGUUGUAAAGCUCUUUUACCCGGGAUGAUAAUGACAGUACCGGGAGAAUAAGCUCCGGCUAACUCCGUG
rnacentral:rRNA from 1 species